rnacentral:rRNA from 1 species
ACGAACGCUGGCGGCGUGCUUAACACGUGCCAGUCGCACGGAAAGGCCCUGCUUUUGUGGGGUGCUCGCGUGGCGAACGGGUGAGUAACACGUGAGUAACCUGCCCUUGACUUUGGGAUAACUUCAGGAAACUGGGGCUAAUACCGGAUAGGAGCUCCUGCUGCAUGGUGGGGGUUGGAAAGUUUCGGCGGUUGGGGAUGGACUCGCGGCUUAUCAGCUUGUUGGUGGGGUAGUGGCUUACCAAGGCUUUGACGGGUAGCCGGCCUGAGAGGGUGACCGGCCACAUUGGGACUGAGAUACGGCCCAGACUCCUACGGGAGGCAGCAGUGGGGAAUAUUGCACAAUGGGCGGAAGCCUGAUGCAGCAACGCCGCGUGCGGGAUGACGGCCUUCGGGUUGUAAACCGCUUUCGCCUGUGACGAAGCGUGAGUGACGGUAAUGGGUAAAGAAGCACCGGCUAACUACGUG